UCGGGGAGUAGCGCAGCCUGGUAGCGCAUCUGCUUUGGGAGCAGAGGGUCGCAGGUUCGAAUCCUGUCUCCCCGACCCA
rnacentral:tRNA from 1 species